rnacentral:rRNA from 1 species
GUAGUCAACAUGCCCAGGGGACGUGGAUAACCUCGGGAAACUGAGGAUAAACCGCGAUAGGCCAUGAUUUCUGGAAUGGUUCAUGGCUGAAAUCUAUAUGGCCCCUGGAUUGGACUGCGGCCGAUCAGGCUGUUGGUGAGGUAAUGGCCCACCAAACCUGUAACCGGUACGGGCUCUGAGAGGAGGAGCCCGGAGAUGGGCACUGAGACAAGGGCCCAGGCCCUAUGGGGCGCAGCAGGCGCGAAACCUCUGCAAUAGGCGAAAGCUUGACAGGGUUACUCUGAGUGAUUCCCGCUAAGGGGAUCUUUUGGCACCUUUAAAAAUGGUGCAGAAUAAGGGGUGGGCAAGUCUGGUGUCAGCCGCCGCGGUAAUACCAGCACCCCGAGUGGUCGGGACGAUUAUUGGGCCUAAAGCAUCCGUAGCCGGUACUGCAAGUCUUCCGUUAAAUCCACCUGCUUAACAGUUGGGCUGCGGGGGAUACUACAGCGCUAGGAGGCGGGAGAGGCAAGCGGUACUCAAUGGGUAGGGGUAAAAUCCGCUGAUCCAUUGAAGACCACCAGUGGCGAAGGCGGCUUGCCAGAACGCGCUCGACGGUGAGGGAUGAAAGCUGGGGGAGCAAACCGGAUUAGAUACCCGGGUAGUCCCAGCUGUAAACGAUGCAGACUCGGUGAUGGGCUGGCCUUGUGCCAACCCAGUGCCGCAGGGAAGCCGUUAAGUCUGCCGCCUGGGGAGUACGGUCGCAGACUGAAACUUAAAGGAAUUGGCGGGGA